rnacentral:rRNA from 1 species
UACGUAGGUGGCAAGCGUUGUCCGGAUUUACUGGGCGUAAAGCGCACGUAGGCGGCUUAGCAAGUCGGAAGUGAAAUCCCACGGCUCAACCAUGGAAGUGCUUUCGAAACUGCUGAGCUUGAGUACGAAAGAGGAUCGCGGAAUUCCCGGUGUAGAGGUGAAAUUCGUAGAUAUCGGGAGGAACACCGGUGGCGAAGGCGGCCCACUGGCUCGAUACUGACGCUGAGGUGCGAAAGCGUGGGGAGCAAACAGG